rnacentral:rRNA from 1 species
UGAUGUAGCGGCGGACGGGUGAGUAACACGUGGGUAACCUGCCUGUAAGACUGGGAUAACUCCGGGAAACCGGGGCUAAUACCGGAUGCUUGAUUGAACCGCAUGGUUCAAUUAUAAAAGGUGGCUUUUAGCUACCACUUACAGAUGGACCCGCGGCGCAUUAGCUAGUUGGUGAGGUAACGGCUCACCAAGGCGACGAUGCGUAGCCGACCUGAGAGGGUGAUCGGCCACACUGGGACUGAGACACGGCCCAGACUCCUACGGGAGGCAGCAGUGGUCAUAGCUGGUUUCC